rnacentral:rRNA from 1 species
GACGAACGCUGGCGGCGUGCUUAACACAUGCAAGUCGAACGCUGAAGCUUGGUGCUUGCACUGGGUGGAUGAGUGGCGAACGGGUGAGUAAUACGUGAGUAACCUGCCCUUGACUCUGGGAUAAGCCUGGGAAACUGGGUCUAAUACUGGAUACGACAUGCCACUGCAUGGUGGUGUGUGGAAAGGGUUUUACUGGUUUUGGAUGGGCUCACGGCCUAUCAGCUUGUUGGUGGGGUAAUGGCCUACCAAGGCGACGACGGGUAGCCGGCCUGAGAGGGUGACCGGCCACCCUGCGCCUGCGAGACGCACCAGACUCCUACGGGAGGCAGCAGUGGGAAAUAUUGCACAAUGGGCGGAAGCCUGAUGCAGCGACGCCGCGUGAGGGAUGACGGCCUUCGGGUUGUAAACCUCUUUCAGCAAGGAAGAAGCGAGAGUGACGGUACGUGAAGAAGAAGCGCCGGCUAACUACGUG